rnacentral:snRNA from 1 species
GUUCUUUACCUAUUUGGCUUGAU